UACGUAGGGUGCGAGCGUUAAUCGGAAUUACUGGGCGUAAAGCGUGCGCAGGCGGUCGUUCAAGUCGAGUGUGAAAGCCCCCGGCUCAACUGGGGAGGGUCACUCGAUACUGAUCGACUUGAAGGCAGGAGAGGGAAGCGGAAUUCCCGGUGUAGUGGUGAAAUGCGUAGAUAUCGGGAGGAACACCAGUGGCGAAGGCGGCUUCCUGGCCUGUUCUUGACGCUGAGGCGCGAAAGCUAGGGGAGCAAACGGG
rnacentral:rRNA from 1 species